UGGGGUGUAGCUCAGUGGUACAGCAGCUGCCUAGCAGGCCUGAGGCCCUGGGUUCCAACUCCAGCACCACAA
rnacentral:tRNA from 1 species